UGGUCAAGUUAUUAAGGGUGCAGGGCGGAUGCCUUGGCACUAGGAGCCGAUGAAGGACGUGAUAAGCUGCGAUAAGCUUCGGGGAGUUGCACGUAAACUUUGAUCCGAAGAUUUCCGAAUGAGGAAACUCACUUAGAGUAAUGUCUAAGUAUCGUUAAGUGAAUACAUAGCUUAGCGAGGGGAACCCGGGGAACUGAAACAUCUAAGUACCCGGAGGAAGAGAAAGAAAUUCGAUUCCGUAAGUAGCGGCGAGCGAACGCGGAACAGGCCAAACCAAUGAAGUUUACUUCGUUGGGGUUGCGGACAUACAACAUGGAUGCAAUAUCGUAAAUGAAGAGAGUUGGAAAGCUCCGCCAUAGAAGGUAAUAGCCCUGUAGUUGAAACGAGAAAGCUACUAGUAUGAUCCAGAGUACCACGGGACACGUGAAACCCUGUGGGAAGCAGGAGGGACCAUCCUCCAAGCCUAAAUACUACCUAGUGACCGAUAGCGCAUAGUACCGUGAGGGAAAGGUGAAAAGAACCCCGGGAGGGGAGUGAAAUAGAACCUGAAACCCUGCACUUACAAGCUGUGGGAGCACAUUACUUGUGUGACCGCGUACUUUUUGUAGAACGGGCCAACGAGUUACGUUAAGUAGCAAGGUUAAGCACUUAAGGUGUGGAGCCGUAGCGAAAGCGAGUCUUAAAUGGGCGAUUAAGUUACUUGGCGUAGACCCGAAACCGGGCGACCUAUCCAUGAGCAGGUUGAAGCGAAAGUAAAAUUUCGUGGAGGACCGAACCCACGAGCGUUGAAAAGCUCGGGGAUGACUUGUGGAUAGCGGUGAAAUUCCAAUCGAGCCCGGAGAUAGCU
rnacentral:rRNA from 1 species